rnacentral:rRNA from 1 species
ACGGGGGGGGGUAAGCGUUGUUCGGAAUUACUGGGCGUAAAGGGCUCGUAGGCGGCCAACUAAGUCAGACGUGAAAUCCCUCAGCUUAACUGGGGAACUGCGUCUGAUACUGGAUGGCUUGGAUCCGGAAGAGGGAUGCGGAAUUCCAGGUGUAGCGGUGAAAUGCGUAGAUAUCUGGAGGAACACCGGUGGCGAAGGCGGCAUCCUGGACCGACACUGACGCUGAUGCGCGAAAGCUAGGGGAGCAAACGGGA